CCCAAUGUAAGGGCCCGUAAAAAGGCCCCUACGUCUUUAUCACCAACUCUGUAUUCAUNNNNNNNNAUCCAUAUCUUCGCCUUAACAAGCGUUGGUAAAACUUAUACAACUUUCAACAACGGAUCUCUUGGCUCUCGCAUCGAUGAAGAACGCAGCGAAAUGCGAUAAGUAAUGUGAAUUGCAGAUUUUCAGUGAAUCAUCGAAUCUUUGAACGCACCUUGCGCCCCUUGGUAUUCCGAGGGGCAUGCCUGUUUGAGUGUCAUUAAAUUCUCAACUCCGAUUUGAUUUGUUUCUUAUCGGAGCUUGGACUUUGGAGCGUGCUGGCGUAAGGUCGGCUCCUCUUAAAUGUAUCAGCGGAAUCUAACCUUUGGAUUCUGGACAUCGGNGUGAUAAUAAAAGUUGCGCCGUCGUUCUACUUCAAAGUCCGCUUACAAUGGUCUUUUGACAAACUCUUAUCAAAUUUGACCUCAAAUCAGGUANNNNNACCCNCUGAACUUAAGCAUAUCAAUAAGCGGAGGAAAAGAAACUAACANGGAUUCCCCUAGUAACUGCGAGUGAAGCGGGAAAAGCUCAAAUUUAAAAUCUGGNNGGUCUCC
rnacentral:rRNA from 1 species